rnacentral:misc_RNA from 1 species
AAAAAAAAAAAAACUCACGGGUUUGAUUCUGUUCAUUCCAAUGUCAUUAACCUGAAGGUGGGAGUACCUAAAAUUUGUUUUUACUCAUAGAAGCAACAAAACCGAGGGCAAUUUCGUAAACACGAAGUUCAACAGAAUUUGUAGUUCAUCCAUAACAUGACAAACAAACAAGGAAGGACCCCGAUUUAGUCGGUCAGUUUGGUUCAAUUCCAAUCUCAAUGAUUCAAAUCACAAAUUAAGGAUGGACUGUUUGGUAGCUAAGAAAAUGCGGGGAAUAAAAUGCAAAAAAGAGCAAAAAAUUUUAAACAGUUUUGCACCAUCA